rnacentral:lncRNA from 1 species
CAUCAUAAACUAAUUUCUAUAAAAAACGUUUUUAUUACACCAAUUCCAUUCCAACUUUUGAUUACAUCCAUCGACCGUAUCAUAUAUUCGGUUCCAACAUAUAUCAUCAUGCAAUUCCAACAAUACAUCCCAAAUUCACAAAGUUUCAUACAAUUAGCAUUCUAGUAAUAAAAGCCCUACAACUAAAGACAAGCCAAUCAUCAUAGAGUUAGGGUCAUGUGUUUUGUUGUUGGUUUUGGCUCCAUUUACGAUCUUUUAAAUUGGACGUAUGGAUUGGUUAUCCAGGAUCUAACAACUUCUUUCGCUCAAAACCAUGGAAAGGAUGUUUUUUUACCAACCAAAGCCUUCUGUCUGCAGCAAGGACGGAAACGCAGAGAUGCAAAAUCGUAGCAGAACUCCAAUCCUCCUCCAACGGUCGCUUCCAUGUUUUCCUUCAAUAUGGUACAGUUUGGCAU